AAUAAAAUUAUUAUUUAUUUUAUUUGUUUAUUUUUUUUUAAUAAAAAUAAUUUUAUUAAUAUAAAUUUUUAGUAUAUUUUAUAGAAAAAAAAAUUAAAUUAUAGUUAAUUAGUAUUGUAAAAGAAUUUUGAAAUAUAUAUUUAUUUUAAAUUAGUAAAAUUAAUUUUUUGUACCUUGUGUAUCAGGGUUUAUUAAAUAAUAAUUAUUUAAAUUAAUUUUCCCGAGUUUAAGAGAGUUAAUAAAAUAUUUUUUUUAUCGUGAUAAAGAUAUCUAUAAUAUUUUAUUAGUAAUGAAAUGUUAUUCGUUCUUAAAUAUAUCUGGUUUAUUUAGAAAUAAAUUUAAUUUAGUUAAUUUAAUUUUAAUAUUUUAUUUAUUUAAAAUAUUAAAUUUUAUUAAUAAUAAUUAAAGGGAUUAGCUUUUAAUUAAAAAUCUAUAAAUUAUUAAUUUAUAUAAAAAAUGUAAGUUUAGAAAUAUCUAUCAAUAAUAAUUUGUUAUAAUUAAUUUAUUAUAUUAAUAUUAUUUAAUAUAAUUUUAGAUUUUUUAUAAAUAAAUAAUUUUUAAUUAUAUAAAAUUAUAUAUUAUGAUAAAAUUAGUAUAUUUAUUUAUUUAAAUAUUUUUUUAAAAAAAGAUUAUUUAAAGGAAUUCGGCAAAAAUUUUACUCGCCUGUUUAACAAAAACAUGUCCUUUUGAAUUUAAUUUAAGGUUUAACCUGCCCACUGAAAUUAUUUGAAGGGCCGCAGUAAUUUGACUGUGCAAAGGUAGCAUAAUCAUUAGUUUUUUAAUUAAAAGCUUGUAUGAAGGGUUGGACGAAGUAAAUUCUGUCUCUAUUUAAUUUAAAUUAGAAUUUAAUUUUUAAGUUAAAAAGCUUAAAUUUUUUUAAAAGACGAGAAGACCCUAUAGAUCUUUAUAUUAAAAAUAUUAAUUUUAAUUAAGAAUAUUUUAUUUUUUAAUAUUUAUAAUAUUUUAUUGGGGUAAUAAAAAGAUUAAAUUAAUUCUUUUUUUAUUUUAACAUUAAUUAAUGAUUAUAUGAUCCAAUUUUAUUGAUUAAAAGAUUAAGUUACCUUAGGGAUAACAGCGUAAUUUUUUUAGAGAGUUCAUAUCGAUAAAAAAGUUUGCGACCUCGAUGUUGGAUUAAAAAUUAUCUUAGGUGCAGAAGUUUGAGAUUUUGGUCUGUUCGACCAUUAAAUUUUUACAUGAUCUGAGUUCAGACCGGCGUAAGCCAGGUCGGUUUCUAUCUUUAAUAAAAUAUAAUAUUUUAGUACGAAAGGACCAAAUAUUUAAUAUAUUUAUAUUUAAUUAUUUUGAAUAUUAUUA
rnacentral:rRNA from 1 species